GUAAGAACGACAGGAACUGCAUCGGGAAUGGUUUCAAGGGUGUCAAUACCUUCAUUUCCACUCCUGUCUGGUGUCUUAUCAACAGAGUGAACAUAAAUAGGUUUCUGUGAAAGGCCGAGCGCCGACAUAUUAGCACCCAAGAUCUGAACAUCCACAAGGUGAUCUUCAGUGGCCACAACAUUCUCCAGUGUGGCAUGACUCAAUGUCUUCAAAAAAGAUAAUGGAGCUUCAAAGACUCUAACAACUUUCUCUUCGGCUCCGCUGACAAAG
rnacentral:misc_RNA from 1 species